GAUGAGGGCCCAACAAAAUCAACCCACAAGCCAAGGAAACAGCCACAUGGAAUGGUAAAUGAAUAUUCCCCUAGGUACUAGUGGUCACGCGUCUGUUCCCAAGACCAAAUUCACGUGGCUCAAAAAGACGUAUUCAGCAUAACAAGAUGCGCAGGCAGAAACAAACGCCAAUAAACUUCCAAUCUUAUGACCAUUCGCCUCCCUCCACUCAUUUUUCUCUCUCUCGUUACCGUCUCCGCCGCGUCGGAGGCUUCCUCGGCGGCAGAGCCACCACGAAAUUACAAAUUGAAACCAGAUUCCUAAUUUAUUCCACAUCUUGAACUCAAAUAUACCCAUGAAAAGCUCUAACCCUAACUCUAAACGGUUCAAUCGGAGAUUUUAAGUCAAGAACCCUAAAUUCUCUAAGUUCAAUUAAAUGGGGUCGAAGUGAGGAUCCUCACGUAGGCCAUGGGGUUAUCAAUGAUAAAGAUUUGUAUUAUGCAAUGGUGAUUGACUCGUGGCAAACAGAGGAGGAAUUUUACCUGGUAAUCACUCCGGUGAACUUUGAUCGGAGAAGACGACGUGCAAGAAGAUUCUUGAGCCACCAGGUCAUGUGUUGAUAUUCUAACCUUUGGAAGAUGGUGCAGGUUUGCCAAUUGGCUUUGAGGUAUGCACAUUGCUUUGUUAACUUGAAAAUAAAAAUGGAUUUAUGCACGACCAUUUAUCCUAUUGCAAAUGCCAGGUUUGAUAUGAAUGAUGAUUUGAUGUGGUUGCAGUUGGAUAUGAUUGCUUGAUUGUCAUGGUCGUAUUGCUGGCUAGUGUGCUUUACUGAAUUGCCUUUAGUGCAGGUUCUCAAAAUAGGAAAUGCCCUGUUUUUUUGUUGCAAUCUGGUUCGGUCUGCAUUGGUCCUGGAAAGGUUUCUGGUCUGCAUUGGUCUUGGAAAGGUUUAUAACUUUGCAUUCACAUCAUUCUGAAGGGUUUUGUGAUUCUUGUUAAUGUAGAUCAAAUUGGAUUCUUCCAUUUCCUUGCAGACCUUUGGCUAGUGUUUUAUGUGUUCCAUUAUGCAUUGCCUUGAGUCCCUUUUGCAGGUUACAUGUACACGAAACAUGAUGGUUGCACAAGGGUUUGCAACAUGAUGAUCAAGGUUGAAAUUUGGAGUAUUAAGCACCCAUGGCAAGGAUUCAAGGAUCAAGGAUUAACACUCGACCUUAGCAUUAGAAAUAGAAAUAGGACUUAGGGUUUUUAGGAUGAAAAGGGUUUGAGUUGACUUUGGUCAAAAUUGACCAAAAAGUUAACUAUUGACCAAAAUCAACAUUUGGUCAACAUGUAAUUUUUGCAUUUUUGUAUGUAGUGAAACAUUUUAUUAUGGAACUUGAUGUAUAUGAAUGCGAUUGACACUUUUUUU